rnacentral:rRNA from 1 species
AAUACUUGGCUUGCCUAAGUAUUGAUGGCGACCGGCGCACGGGUGAGUAACACGUAUCCAACCUUCCGGUUACUCGGGGAUAGGCUUUCGAAAGAAAGAUUAAUACCCGAUGUUGCGUAUCUUUCUCCUGAAAGAUACGCCAAAGGAUUCCGGUAACCGAUGGGGAUGCGUUCCAUUAGGCAGUUGGCGGGGUAACGGCCCACCAAACCUUCGAUGGAUAGGGGUUCUGAGAGGAAGGUCCCCCACAUUGGAACUGAGACACGGCCCUU